AUUGAACGCUGGCGGCAGGCCUAACACAUGCAAGUCGAACGAGUGGCGGACGGGUGAGUAAUGUCUGGGAAACUGCCUGAUGGAGGGGGCUAACUACUGGAAACGGUAGCUAAUACCGCAUACCAUCGGAUGUGCCCAGAUGGGAUGGGCUAGUAGGUGGGGUAAGGGCUCACCUAGGCGACGAUCCCUAGCUGGUUUGAGAGGAGGACCAGCCAGACUGGAACUGAGAACGAGUCCAGACUACUACUGGAGGCAGCAGUGGUGAAUAUUGCACGAUGGGCGCAAGCCUGAUGAAGCCAUGCCGCGUGUAUGGAGAAGGCCUUCGGGUUGUAAAGUACUUUCAGCGGGAAGGCGUUACCAGCAGAAGAAGCACCGGCUAACUCCGUGCCAGCAGCCGCGGUAAUUC
rnacentral:rRNA from 1 species